AACGAACGCUGGCGGCAUGCCUAACACAUGCAAGUCGAACGAGACCUUCGGGUCUAGUGGCGCACGGGUGCGUAACGCGUGGGAACCUGCCCUUAGGUUCGGAAUAACUCCCCGAAAGGGGUGCUAAUACCGGAUAAUGUCUUCGGACCAAAGAUUUGUCGACCUUGGAUGGGCCCGCGUUGGUUUAGCUAGUUGGUAGGGUAAAAGCCUACCAAGGCGACGAUCCAUAGCUGGUCAGAGAGGAAGAUCCGCCACACUGGGACUAAGACACGGCCCGGACUCUUACGGGAGGGGGGAGUGGGGAAUACUGGACAACCGGGGAGAGCAUGAAGCGGCAAUGCCGCGUGAGUGAUGAAGGCGGUAGGGUUGUAAAGCUCUUUUACCCGGGAUGAUACUGACGGUACCGGGAGAAUAAGCACCGGCUAACUCCGUG
rnacentral:rRNA from 1 species